rnacentral:hammerhead_ribozyme from 1 species
AUCCGGUUGACGAGUCCGAACUAGGACGAAACGCGCAUCCUGGAU